rnacentral:ncRNA from 1 species
UACCUGGUUGAUCCUGCCAGUAGUCAUAUGCUUGUCUCAAAGAUUAAGCCAUGCAUGUCUAAGUAUAAACUGCUUAUACUG